UACGGAGGGGGUAAGCGUUGUUCGGAAUUACUGGGCGUAAAGGGCUCGUAGGCGGCCAACUAAGUCGGACGUGAAAUCCCUCAGCUUAACUGGGGAACUGCGUCCGAUACUGGAUGGCUUGGAUUUGGGAGAGGGAUGCGGAAUUCCAGGUGUAGCGGUGAAAUGCGUAGAUAUCUGGAGGAACACCGGUGGCGAAGGCGGCAUCCUGGACCAAUAUUGACGCUGAGGAGCGAAAGCCAGGGGAGCAAACGGG
rnacentral:rRNA from 1 species